GACGAACGCUGGCGACGUGCUUAACACAUGCAAGUCGAACGGUGAAAGCGGAGCUUGCUCCGCUGGAUCAGUGGCGAACGGGUGAGUAACACGUGGGCAACCUGCCCCUCACUUCGGGAUAACUCCGGGAAACCGGGGCUAAUACCGGAUAUGACCUCCUUGGGCAUCCUUGGAGGUGGAAAGUUUUUCGGUGAGGGAUGGGCCCGCGGCCUAUCUGCUUGUUGGUGAGGUAGUGGCUCACCAAGGCGACGACGGGUAGCCGGCCUGAGAGGGCGACCGGCCACACUGGGAAUGAGACACGGCCCAGACUCCUACGGGAGGCAGCAGUGGGGAAUAUUGCGCAAUGGGCGAAAGCCUGACGCAGCAACGCCGCGUGCGGGAUGACGGCCUUCGGGUUGUAAACCGCUUUCAGCAGGGAAGAAGCCGCAAGGUGACGGUACCUGCAGAAGAAGCACCGGCUAACUACGUGCCAGCCGCCGCGGUAA
rnacentral:rRNA from 1 species